UAAAAUGACAUGCAUAGCACAAUUAUUUAAAUUGACACACAGAGAGCAAAACUUCUUCUCAAGUCUUCAAAAGUCUAAACACAUUUUCUGCUUUACACACAUUUUGCAAUUCAAAAUGGCACUUUUUAAAUGCACUGAACACGAUUCUCUGCAUAAGACACAACAAUCUGACAUAAAGUCACAUGUUCGCCAUUUCAAAACACUGCCAUUCAAAAUGACACUACAUGAGCUAAUUGGCCAAUAUAUGUGUCACCUGGCCAAACACUUCAAUGGUUAAUUGUUACCACUUCAAUCAGGAAGUAAGCACUAUGAAAACACCACAUGGAUGC